AUGUCUUAAGAAGCUGUUUAUUAGAUAUGUCAUGAAAUGUGUUUUAUGAUGAUGAGGAUUGAUUGCAGUGAGACCCAGGAUAAGGUGGAAAAAAUUAGUUUUAAUGUAUGUCCAAGUUGUACACAGUGCCAGGAACCCCAGGUGAACAACGAGACACGGACACAAACUCAGGUUGGCUUGACAAAGACAACAAUGACAGGGACACGAUAACUAUGAUAAGGAUCCAGUGAGUUACGGAGGAGACAAACGGAUUAUACUGAAUCCAUGCCACAUCAAAUGUUGAAACAUCAACAGAGUCUCAUUUAUUCAUCAUAGAAGCCUGGUAUUUUCACAUAGGGCAUGUGUGUUCCUGACCUAGUGGACAUUGUCUUCUCGGUAAAUCUGGUUCUUCCUGCAGGCCUGUGUGUGAGCAGCAGCUUAUCAGCUCCGGCCAGAGUUGCCCUCACUCGCAACCACCUCCAUCGCCUGAGAGGAAAAUAAAUUGCACCCAUGCAGUUAAUAAGAAUAAAAAAAUGCAUUGUGACAAAGUCACACAACCAUUACAAAUUCCACAUAAAAAAGGAACU